UCAUUAAUGGUCUAUGUAGAACUGGGAACUGGUGUUUAUAGAUGCCAUGGUGGAAGACACGAUAUUCUUCUCUAAUAUCUGGAAAUCUCUGCACUAGGAUCGGUGCCAAGAGAUUGUCCAGGGCAUUGGUACAUAGCAUGAAUGCGGAGAUCUGAUAUUACGCAUGUGAAAUGUUGGGCAGCAUCUAGCACAGAAAUUGCCAUGGACCUGCAUUGUAACAUUGGUGUUAGUAGUGGGAUGAGUGCGUCUAAAUAAAUGAGGUUAUUAUCA